GCAUUUGUAGCUCAAGCGGGAAGAGCGUGAGACUUAGAGUCUCAAAGGUUCCAGGUUCGAUCCCUGGCAUAUGCU